rnacentral:lncRNA from 10 species
GCAAGAAGCUAUAGAGAUCAAGAAGGAAACAUAGGGAUGGAGACUACUACUAAGCAUCUUCGACUAUGCUAAGUCCUGAGCAGACAGUGAAGAACUAGAAAGACAUGGCCCCGCCCUCAUGAAGAUUACAAGUUAGGCCUAUUCUCCACACUUGUUCUAACUCAAUCUGCUACAUAUACCUUGAGUACCCAGUAUGCGUUAGGUACUAAAAGGAGCUACAAAGAUGAACCAGACACAGUCUUCAAGAACUUCAGGGAUCAGGGAAGGUUUAUCCUGAUUGUAAUCCCUCCAGAGGUUUUGAUCAUUUCUCUAAUCACUUAUUAGGCCUCUUGCUUCCUGUAGGAAUUUGUUCUCUAUAUUAGAUUGAAAUCUGCCUGUUCUAAUUUCAACUUCCUUUCUUCUGGCCCUGGCUAGUCCUCAGUGUACAGAAUUGCCAUUGGUACCUGCUGGUCAAGGCCAAGUGUUGUGAGCCAAGGUUUCUAACCUUGGCUGCAGUUACACUUAACUGCUCCUCUCCGAAGCUGGAUUUAGCAGAGAUUUGAUGGAAGCCCUGCAAACCUCGAUUCAAAUCAAAGUUCAAACCUAGUGACUGGUUGAGUGAACUGCUUUAAUAAUAACAGUGCAAAAAUUGAAUUUAAAAUAAUCCUUUUAGGGAUGCAAGAUGCAGUGGUUUAGCCUUUUAUUAAUAUUCUUUUCUUUCCACUAAUAAAGAUUUUAAGUCAACAUCUCCUUAAAUUUGAUUAAUUCCAUUAGGAUCACUCCAAAAAAAGGUUUAUCAGUGGCUUUGAAAUCCAAAUGGGAUGAAGAAAAAAUCAUUUAUAUGGCAAAAUCUCAGUUACACUAACUAGAUUAAAGACCUUCUGCUGAAUUAAAGAAAAAAUCAACACACAGAUUAUUUGAAACAAAUGUAAAUAUGCAACUUUUAAGCACAUAGAGAAAUCUACCCUAAAGUUGAUGUUUUUUCAAGUUCUCUUGGAGCUUACAUUCCAGUGGGAGAAACCCGUGUUAAACAAAUACAUAGAAGACAAUUUCAGAUUGUGAGCUAGGAAAUCAGGGUAGAGGAAUGGGUAAUAUUAGAGAGAUCAGGGAGGCUUCUCUGAGAGGUGACAUUUGAGCUGAGAUCUGAAAGACCAAGCCACAGUCACAUGAAGACAUGGAGUUAGCGUUACAUGCAAAGCAAACGGUUAAGUGCAAAGUCCCUGAGGCUGGAAUGGGCUUAAUGU